rnacentral:rRNA from 1 species
AGAGUUUGAUCAUGGCUCAGGACGAACGCUGGCGGCGCGCCUAACACAUGCAAGUCGAACGAGAGAGAAGGAGCUUGCUUCUUCGAUCGAGUGGCGAACGGGUGAGUAACGCGUGAGGAACCUGCCUCAAAGAGGGGGGACAACAGUUGGAGACGACUGCUAAUACCGCAUAAGCCCACGGGCCGGCAUCGACCUGAGGGAAAAGGAGUGAUCCGCUUUGAGAUGGCCUCGCGUCCGAUUAGCUAGUUGGUGAGGUAACGGCCCACCAAGGCAACGAUCGGUAGCCGGACUGAGAGGUUGAACGGCCACAUUGGGACUGAGACACGGCCCAGACUCCUACGGGAGGCAGCA